GUGCGUCCUGGGACCGACCGACCGCCCGACCGCCUGGGGCCGAGAAACCCCGGGCACCAUGCAGCCAUGUAUCCCUGGAAGUUGGAGCAUAGCAGGGUGAUCUUGAUCGUGACCUGGAUCGGCUGGAUGAUGGCGAGCAAGACCAAGAUGAACGAGAGGAGGAUCGAGAAGAGCUACUCGAACCAUAACUAGACCUGGAGGAGGAACGUGAUCGAUGUCUACUUCUAGAUCGGAGACCCUGACCGAGACCUUGAGGACGAAGAGGAGGAGCAGGAGGAUCUUGAAUCUGACCGACUACCAAUAGAUCUGCCUCUCCGGGAUUUUUGGGGACUGGGGGAACCCUUGUAUUUCCU